rnacentral:rRNA from 1 species
GAUGAACGCUGGCGGCGUGCCUAAUACAUGCAAGUCGAGCGAAUGGAUUAAGAGCUUGCUCUUAUGAAGUUAGCGGCGGACGGGUGAGUAACACGUGGGUAACCUGCCCAUAAGACUGGGAUAACUCCGGGAAACCGGGGAUAAUACCGGAUAACAUUUUGAACCUCAUGGUUCGAGAUUGAAAGGCGGCUUCGGCUGUCACUUAUGGAUGGACCCGCGUCGCAUUAGCUAGUUGGUGAGGUAACGGCUCACCAAGGCGACGAUGCGUAGCCGCCCUGAGAGGGUGAUCGGCCACACUGGGACUGAGACACGGCCCAGACUCCUACGGGGGGCAGCAGUAGGGAAUCUUCCGCAAUGGACGAAAGUCUGACGGAGCAACGCCGCGUGAGUGAUGAAGGCUUUCGGGUCGUAAAACUCUGUUGUUAGGGAAGAACAAGUGCUAGUUGAAUAAGCUGGCACCUUGACGGUACCUAACCAGAAAGCCACGGCUAACUACGUGCCAGCCGCCGCCGUAA